GACAUUGGGAGGAGUCAGCCGUCACCCCACGCUAUGGAAAUGGACCCACUCCCCUUUUAAGCGUUUUUCGCCUUUCCCAAAACGAGACACCCAUUCGACAGACUCCCUAUGCUAGCAUCCUUGCCUAUCGCUGUCAUUCAACUGUCACCACAUGUAAACCCCGAGAUCGACAUCCGGGACAUGUGGACACUCCUGAACCUGAGCCUUAGUUGUUUACUGAAGUAAACCGCCUCCUGCUGCGGUCUUGCAUCUCCCAAUCUGCUUGCACCAUGAGCAUUGUUCAAACUGGACAAAACCAGUUCAGACUGGAAAAAAAAGGAGGCAUGGAAAUAAAGACAAAUGAAAUCUUCAA